ACGGCGAGUGAAGCGGCAACAGCUCAAAUUUGAAAUCUGGCUCCUUUGGGGUCCGAGUUGUAAUUUGCAGAGGGAGCUUUGGUGUUGGCAGCGGUCUAAGUUCCCUGGAACAGGACGUCACAGAGGGUGAGAACCCCGUACGUGGCCGCCCGCCUUCGCCGUGUAAAGCCCCUUCGACGAGUCGAGUUGUUUGGGAAUGCAGCUCUAAAUGGGAGGUAAAUUUCUUCUAAAGCUAAAUACUGGCCAGAGACCGAUAGCGCACAAGUAGAGUGAUCGAAAGAUGAAAAGCACUUUGGAAAGAGAGUCAAAAAGCACGUGAAAUUGUUGAAAGGGAAGCGCUUGCAGCCAGACUUGCCCGCAGUUGCUCACCUAGGCGUCAGCCUGGGGCACUCUUCUGCGGGCAGGCCAGCAUCAGCCCUGGCGGUUGGACAAAGGCUCGUGACACGUACCUCCCCUCGGGGAGGACUUAUAGGGCGAGCGUCACACAACCAGCUGGGGCUGAGGUCCGCGCAUCUGCUAGGAUGCUGGCGUAAUGGCUGUCAGCGGCCCGUCUUGAAACACGGACCAAGGAGUCUAACAUCUAUGCGAGUGUUUGGGUGUCAAGCCCGGGCGCGUAAUGAAAGUGAACGGAGGUGGGAACCCGGUGCACCAUCGACCGAUCCUGAUGUCUUCGGAUGGAUUUGAGUAAGAGCAUAGCUGUUGGGACCCGAAAGAUGGUGAACUAUGCCUGAAUAGGGUGAAGCCAGAGGAAACUCUGGUGGAGGCUCGCAGCGGUUCUGACGUGCAAAUCGAUCGUCAAAUUUGGGCAUAGGGGCGAAAGACUAAUCGAA
rnacentral:rRNA from 1 species